AUGGUGGUAAUUGAUCAACGGCGCCGUGGAAACCUUAUGGCGGAAGCGAGCGCAAAUUUUUUACCCUUUUGAGCGAAUAUUGUCGAUCAAUUUGUGAGUCCUGACUGCUUAGGUGCGGCCCUUCGGGGAGUACUCGUGGUGGUUGUGGUUGGCAGUUCCUAGCCAAAGUGGAACAGUCGAGCGCAGCUAGGCGUCACACUUACCAGAGUGACGGUUCAUACGGCCAUACACGGUGAACCAUCUGCGCAGCUCGGGGUAAGAAAGGCUCCCUUAUUAGGGGAUUGUCUCUCCCCCCGGGGGGUGAUCACUCAACUCAAUUGAGUGCCUAUGGUUGUAGGCAACCCGUCUGAUUACGGCAUCAAGCUAGGUGCAGACGUUAAACACACAGAGCAAUCUAUCAAUUAUUGACCAUUUCAUGAUUGAAUAAAAAUGUAACUCUACAAAAAAGAAACAGAAUAAUGAGUAUAAUUUAUUAAAGUUCCAGCAAUAAGUAAAGUAAGUAAGCAAUAAGACAAUUGUAAAUAGGAUGUGUUUACAAAAACCCUGCGAAUUCCAAUUGGAAACUAAGAAAUCAUUAACAAAUAGAAAAGUUAUAUAUGGCUAUGGCCGAAUUUUGCUUACAUAUAUUUUCAUAAAAAAUUGAAUGGGGUAGAAUUUAUUUUUCACACGGCGUGUGGUACGUCUUCAUCUAUACCGAUUGUACAUGCAACCCGGGUCUCAGAUAAAGACUCUAUAUGUAUAUGAAAUUUGAAUGAGAAGAAAUAGAAUUCACUUUAAAGAGCAGCACUGUACGUAGUCCUGACAAAGCUAUCGGUAAUUCUUCAUUCUUAUUUAAUGAUUUCUCUCUGACUAAAAUUGCUGUUUUCUGUUGUCUGUGGAUUGACUUUAUCUUGACGGUGAUACAAGGUAAGAGAAUGUGAUUGUAUGUGGUAUGCCGAAACAUGAAAUAUAAUUCUUAACUAAAGGUUUUGCGAUAACAGUUGCGAAUAUUUCUGAUAGUGCGUAUUCUUCGUACCAUCGUGUAAAGCUAUCGAGUAUGGUAAUUGUCUAAGAGUUACCAUCGGAUAGGGAAAGUGGGCCGACAAUGUCUACAUGUAUACGUUGAAAUUUGGCCUUCGCGUAGAUGCAUUGCCUUGACCAUGAAUUAAUUUCCCGUUCCACUUCCGGCUGAAAGCAUUUGUCCGUUAUUAGAUUCUGCGUCGCCCUCGAUUCCGAAGCAUUUUAUCGAAUACGGUUUUUAUAAGAUUUGCCUUGGUAUUUUCCGGGACACUUCGCACCAUAUUCCAUACUUUAUCGAUGGUACCUUUCUUUGAUUCAAGUGGAAUUUUUUUCUUAUUGAUUGUGUCAAUUCUGGGCCACGUUUUUACUCUUGGUGUAAGCCGUAAAAUCUCAAUUAUACGUCACUCAGAUUAUCAACUCGGAAAGCUUUAGCCGAAGUGUUCGCCAAUUCAAUUUACCUUUGACAUAUUGACAAUAGUGGAUUUUAAGAUGUAUUCGACAUGCCUCGUCGUUCUCGGACUGCAGCCGUUGUUUGAACUUAACGCAUUGAUGAAUGAUUUAUGGUCAGUGAAUAUCGUAAGUUCCCUUCCUUCCGCAAAAUGUCUGAAAUGUGUUAUUGUCACGUUACAUUGCAUGCAAUUCUCGAUCGAAUGUGUAUUAGUCGGGUGGACUUAAAUUGAGAACAACUGCAAACCAAACUCCGAUUUACGCUGGACAACUGUUGAUGUCUGUCCGUUUUUGUCCAUUGUGUGUCGGUGUAUGCGCUUUUUAUUAUUAUUACCCAGGCUUAUAGAUGGUUUUUUUACUUAAUUAUGUUACUAUGUUUAGUCAGUACACGCUUUGAUCAGUUUCAGAAAGGCUGCAACUUUGCUUCAACUUUUGUUAGUUUUCUAAAGGAUUAAACGUUUCCAUUUCACGUAAAUUUCGUUUUAAGGUGUGCCAAUUUGCCAACCUUAUCAACGACCAAGGUCUUCAUCAUGCAGUCGCAAUGAUCAAACAACAGAAACCAAAACAUGAAUCUCAGCCUCUCCUGGUUCAGAAUAUCCUUUCCUAAAUGCAAAAAAUCGCAUUCCGCAUACAUUUAUGGUGCAUAUGGUAUGCCGACAAUAUGCUAGUAGUCUAAAAGAUUGUUGAAAGUUUUAUUUAAGCAGGGUCUACAGGGUCGCGAUUGUCAAUAUAAUGCAAAUAAGAAGUGUAUGGAUAAUGUCCCCCAGGACUGUUCGGGUGAACAGCAACUAAUUGUAAGUGAUUUUAUAGAAUCUAGCAGGCAUGGGUUACCCAAACAUCGUAACAAUCUCUUUUCUGAAGAGUUUGACAUGAAGGAUUUUGAUGAAAAUACCACAUCUGGCCUACGUUUUAAUUCUAAUAAAAGUGCUUGCAAACGGGCACUUAACCAACUGCAAGAGUCUGACAACUUGUACAAAAACUGAGAACACGCCAAUGAAAACAAGCAACGGUCGCUUAAGUGGAGACCAUGAACAAAAUGUACAGAAAGGUGAAAUUCAUUCCGCUGAGCAACCGAAUAAACAAGACAGUUCAUUGAAAACAACCUCUGCAGUGGUAGUGAUUAUAACUGCUCAUCGACUGAGUCACAUAAAACUGCCUAUAUGUUAAGGUCAUCAUCGAACUUUAUAAACAGUUUUUAUGCCAAGUAUAUAUCAUGAACAUUUAGACAACGAAGAGAGAAAAGACUAAGCAAAAUUGCAAAGUUUGUAACAAAAGUCAAUUGAAAGGCGAUUAGAGGCCAGCACAAGGCACUGGCGGAAAGAAUAAGCACAGAACUUAACCGUGCAGUGUCCGCUGAAAAGUUGAAAGGGACUUUGCGAGACGUUAGGCAGUGUCUGCAACGAAUUGAAGAAGGGUCGUCUCUUCGUACGCAUUAUUGCGCAUACCUAUGUAUGCGCAACAACUAGGAUAUAUGCGGGCCGCGGUGACGAUUGCAAAAAAAAAUCUACCGUCACAGGAGGCUAACGACAAUGAUAAGUUCCGAGAUGGGGGGAUUCUGUGGGUUCGUGGAAGGGGUGGUGGUGGACGAAGCUAAACACUCUAUGAAUGAGAUAUUAGCAGGUCCGAGUACGGUAAAAAACGACUAAUACGCCAAGAGUCGAGAGAUUCGCUCUCCUCUAUCCUGUUGUGCUAUUUUAUCCUUAUUUCUUUUUAAUUUUACAUAAAAAGUUAUGCCGUUUAAUGCCGCCCCCAAUUAAAUGCCGCCCAUUACAGCAUCAUUGCUUCCUCGUCCUAAGGUAACUAUAAUGUUACAUAGACAUAUUUAUAAAUUGCUUAUUAUUAGAUUAAAAAUCAAAUCCAACUCGUUCCGCUCAUCCCCUCCUAUCGAUGAAGAUUCGCUGCAUGUCAAAGAUUAGAAAACAAGCAUACCCCUCCAGGUGUCGCUUCAGCGGAAUGCGAUACUUCUAUAGGCUAAAUGAUAAAUGUCAACACACCAGCAGUGAUUUUAAGUUCAGUUUAUCAUGGUGAAGGGUUAAAGGGGAGCCAGCCAUUCAAAACAAUUGACAACGCGCUUAUCACGGUACCUCAAAGGUGGUGUGGAAAAACCGUGCCAGGUAAUAUAGCCUUUGCGACCGACGCUAUGAUUUUCACAAUUAAGUGUGCAUCCAUUCACUUAUUAAUCCAAGUUACCUUUUUGAAGAAUAGCACCAAAUAUACAAAUUUGAUUCACAGCAAUUUUCGAGAUAUAUUAUAGCCCCACGACGUGCAACAAAUAUACAAUUCAAUUCACAGUGUACGCAUUAAACGAUAUCAUUUUUUUUUUCUUUUCGAUAUACCUUAAGUUUGGUUGGCAUGCAAAAAGCUGCGUCCUAUACACGUCUUUCGACUCAGGGCACUCUUCGCUCAGGAAAAGCGUGGAUUUUUGCGAGAGCAGAUGGUAUUCUCAUACGUUGCUACACAUGCUGAUAAAGAUAUCGACAAAAAUAAGAGACAACACAGGACAAGCCAAUGCAGAAAAGACAAAUCAAGCCAGCAAGUAGUCGUUAA